AUAUUCAUAUAAAAUAUAAAACAUAUAUAAAAACAAAAAAUUGAUUUUUUUUUUAUUUUAAGUUGAUAAUUUGAUGAAACCUUUGAACUUUAAGCUGAUAUGAACUCGAUUUUGCUGUGCUGCCUACUAGGCCUUCUGUUUGCCGACUGUGCGGCAUCGAACUCUGCUCAAUUUCGAUGCAGUUUUUUAACUGACCGAGGGCCAUGCAAAGGUCACAAGAAAAUGUUUGCCUUUGACAUCUUAGAUCUUCAGUGCAAAGAGUUUGACUACAGCGGCUGUGGAGGCAAUCCAAACCGCUUUAAUAGCUUUAAAGAGUGUCGCAAAAUUUGCAAUGAAAUUAUAAUUAAUAAAAACAUAAGUUAAAUCAA